CGCGGUAAUUCCAGCUCCAAUAGCGUAUAUUAAAGUUGUUGCAGUUAAAAAGCUCGUAGUUGAAACUUGGGUCUGGCUGGCCGGUCCGCCUCACCGCGUGCACUGGUCCGGCUGGAUCUUUCCUUCUGGGGAGCCCCAUGGCCUUCACUGGCCGUGGGGGGAACCAGGACUUUUACUGUGAAAAAAUUAGAGUGUUCAAAGCAGGCCUUUGCUCGGAUACAUUAGCAUGGAAUAAUAGAAUAGGACAUCGGUUCUAUUUUGUUGGUUUCUAGGACCGCUGUAAUGAUUAAUAGGGAUAGUCGGGGGCGUCCGUAUUCAAUUGUCAGAGGUGAAAUUCUUGGAUUUAUUGAAGACGAACUACUGCGAAAGCAUUCGCCAAGGAUGUU
rnacentral:rRNA from 1 species